CCUACGGGAGUCAGCAGUGAGGAAUAUUGGUCAAUGGGCGCGAGCCUGAACCAGCCAAGUCGCGUGAAGGAUGACUGCCCUACGGGUUGUAAACUUCUUUUAUCAAGGAAUAAAGUGAGGCACGUGUGCCUUUUUGUAUGUACUUUAUGAAUAAGGAUCGGCUAACUCCGUGCCAGCAGCCGCGGUAAUACGGAGGAUCCGAGCGUUAUCCGGAUUUAUUGGGUUUAAAGGGAGCGUAGAUGGGUUGUUAAGUCAGUUGGGAAAGUUUGCGGCUCAACCGUAAAAUUGCAAUUGAUACUGGCAGCCUUGAGUACAGUGGAGGUAGGCGGAAUUCGUGGUGUAGCGGUGAAAUGCUUAGAUAGCACGAAGAACUCCGAUUGCGAAGGCAGCUUACUAAACUGCCACUGACAUUGAGGCUCGAAAGUGUGGGUAGCAAACAGGAGUAGAUACCCGAGUAGUC
rnacentral:rRNA from 1 species